GUGUGUAGGAUGCUGCUACAGCGCGACUUGACAAGCGGUACAUAGGUCUGCACCCAAGAUCCAAACCUGAGAACCCCAGGCAACCAAAGCAGAGAAUGCAAACUUAAGCACUACACCACAGGGCCGGUCCCCCUCUCUCCCAAAAAAGGCAAUUAUUAAUCAAAUGUUUCAUAAAAAUAGAAUUGCAUUCUAGUACACUAUUUAGCUCAGCUUGAACAACGUCUAUAUAGUCACAGUGAUGUAAACACUGAAUGUUGAUCUAACUAAAACUGUUAUAUAACUAUCAACAGAAUGUAAAGAGAAUUGUAGACUCUAAAAUAGUGGAAUACUCUCUAAAUCUAUAGCAGAAAAACAAUAAAGUGUAAUAUGGAAAAAUUUGCGACGUAAGCAUGAGUUAUAAAAAUAAGGAGACAAACAUCUGAAGAAACAAGUGAAAAUAUUGUAACUGAUUACCUCUGAGGAAUAACAGAUAAUCGGAGGUUGGCAGGGGUCAGGAGAGAGGUGGACGAACACCAAGGGUUGAGGCGAAGCUAGGAGGAGCUGAGGCUCCCAGGUGAUGCCUAUGCUGCUGGCCCAGAGCCCACAUUUUGAGAACCACUGGCCUGGGUGAUUCAAGUUACCAGCAAAAAAGGAGGAGGAUUCCAGCAGAUGAGAAGUUUUUUCAGAGACCAGCUUGUCACCUUUGGCUGUUCCUGAGACAGUAGGACAACCAUCAACAGCAGCCGAGGACAGCCAGACAGAAUCUCUCCCAGCCUCCUCAGCUGCCCCCCAGAACUGCCGACCAGGCAGAGUGUGGCUGAACUGGGCAUGGCCCUAAAGACACCGCUGCCCAUCCUUGCCUGGAUCCCACCACCAGCGUCUGGUUUGGGACACUGCACAUAAGUGAGGUCUUCACUUUUUCCUGUGUUGUUUUUACACGGUUUUCUUCUAUGAAUCCAGACAGAGAGUGGAAGCAGGGAGGUCAUCUUGGAUCCUGUGUGGAGCACAUUCAUUCCCAGUGACGCCUCUGCUGCCCACUCUUAAACCCACUCCCAGAAGCAAACAAAGACAUGAGCCCAAGUUCUACCAAACAGCCACAGGCAUUUUGCAUGCACACAGGUGACUCACCCUCCCCCACAGACUGCGCAGUCAUCUGAAUAGCCCAUGACCUCAUUUUAACUGAAACCCAACCAUUACUGUAAAGAGCAAGAUGGACUUGGGAAGAGCAUCCAAUCCCGCUCCUCUUUCUUGUUCCUGCCUCUGAGAAGGAAGAGGUGUCCUUGUUGGGGAGCAUCAGUGGAUCAGAACGCCUCAGCCACCAGGAAAGGUGCAGACUAGAAAGAUGCCCGCUGUCUGAGACUGCCUGGCCGCCUCCCUCCCGUGCCCUGGUUAGAUGAAUGGGCUGCGUCAGAGGAGCCAAAACGCCAUCUUGGUUCCAGCCACCUGGAUUUUCGACAUGGUCUUAGAUGAGCAGUGCGCGCCGUAACCGUUCACAGCCUCAUGGUGCUCCAGCAGAGGCCCAACAAUAGCCUCUUCUUUUCCAUUGGACGACGUCUUGAGUUCCAGAAUGCUGCACUGAGCACAAUGCAGAGCUCCUGGGAGACAUUAAGUGUUCACUUGGUGACUCACUGUGGGCAGAAGAGGACACAAGAUGGAGAAAAGGUAAGAAAAUGCUCAGCAGAGGAGAAGAACUCCACCAGAAGGGCAGCCAUGUUUGUGAGUUCCUGAACAUUGACGACAAGGGUUCCAACAAUGACCAUCUACCAGCUUGUAUUGUCCUCCCGGGUGCUGGGCUGGACUCUGAGGAUGCCAUGCCUCAUUCCGUCCUCACAGGAAGCUACUAUCCAGAGCCGACAGAGGUUUAGUGACUUGGCCAAGGUCAUUCAGCUAGUUAGGAUCCAAGCCCGAGCAAUCGGGCUUCAGACUCCAUGCUCUUAACCACUCCACUCCGCUCCUCCUCCUGAGAAAUGGCGUAGAAAGUCCUCCCAGACUGCUAGCUAUUGCAGCAAUGAUUAGUGCUUAACGAAUUUGUUGACUGAAUGAGUGCAUGCGGGAAAAAGGACUCACUCUGGCUUGCUGAGAGGCUGAAGCCUAAAGCAGAAGACUGCUACAACAGAGCAGACCAGGUCUCGCCUGGAAGAACCAGCUAACACAAGAUCAACCUUCUUCAAAAGGGGGAACAAAUGUCCCUGAAACACAGCUUGUCAGAGACAUUCCCUUCCUCCUUCCACCCUCCUUUGUCACCCAUCACACCCGCCAUUGCUGACAGAACAAAGGUAGCAACCACGUCCUCAGUCUAGGGGCCUGGAGUACGGGUUUGUAACCCAGAAAAGAAGUCUGAUGAGUCUAUUUCCUAAACCAAUGCCUCUCCAAAAUUCUAUUUAAAAAGAAAAAGUUAAUGUGAGGUUGAGCUGUGGAAGAGAAAAUUAACUCAGCUUUUCAUCAGCUUGGACUCCUGGGGUUGUCAAAGGCAGCAUGUCAAGUUAAAACAUGCAGCUAAAAUAAAGAAGAAAAAGAAAAGAAAAGCCUGUCUCUGGGAGAGGGCCUUUCCUUUCUAUUCUUUGCUGUCAAGGAGGCAAAGCUGGUUUGGUUAUUCUUUUUUGACUCCCCUUGAGAAAUUCUCAAUAUGAUUGGCAAGAAGUCAGGAAUAACAAGAUAGAGUGGUAACGUAAAUGCCUGCAGAAACAGUAGAUCCUUUGUGCUGACCUUGUCUAAGAAGUCUUAAAGUGGGAAGAAAAGCUGGGGUUUGGCCUUUGAUGCGGAGCCCUUGCACGUAAAAUUUACAGUAUCCUUCCUAUCGGAAAUGCUUAAACACUCUCCCUACAGGUAUUUACAAUCUGUCUCAACAUUUGGCUGACUCCUGGCAAUUUUCUGCUUUCAUUCACAUGAACCGCUUAAAGGAAAGCUCCAGGGCGGCAUUUUGAGUAGCACAUUGAAUUAAAACAAAGGAUAAAUAACCAAAGAAAUAUUGGAGAGUCUGGAAUGCAAUCAACAUCUAAGAAAAAAAAAUCAUUAUUCUUCACAAAUACAAAACAAUGGCAAGACAUUGACAAGGACCUAGAAAGCUGGGAAAACAAGGCCAGGCAAACUGCAUGUGAAACCACAAUCCCCUUCUCUUUAAAGCUUCCAAAGCUCUCACAUUCCAUCGUCCUAUGUGUUUCCAAUUUAGACUCCCUUUAAUAACCACAAUAGACACAAUCCUUCCUUAUGUCUGACAAUCUCUAAUGUCUAACAAAUUUGAAUUGUCUUAUGUCUUGUGCUCAAUAGAUAGAGAAAUACUAUGUCCUUACAUCGUGUAAUAUCCCAAGCUUCCGGGAUCCUCGCCUGGAAGAAGUCUCAAGACUCCCGUUUUAUUUUGUGAAUUUUAUACGCUACACCAAUAUUAUCCACGUUUGUUUUCAUUUGAAAGCACUGUUUAAGCUAUCGUCAAGUUAGAUGGAUCCACUAGGAGAACACACUGUGUUCAUCCGGUUGCUGAGAGUGUUCCCAGCUCACUGGCUUACACACUCCAUUAAUAAGCCCAACUCUGGA
rnacentral:lncRNA from 1 species